AGGGUUUUAUUUUAGCUGUUCAGAACUAUGAGGCAGAGGCUCAGCGACAUAGAGAAAUGUGAAGGGAGGUGGAGUGUGAGCCGCAGCAACAGAGAAAUGUGAAGGGAGGUGGAGUGUGAGCCGCAGCAACAGAGAGAAAUGUGAAGGGAGGUGGAGUGUGAGCCGCAGCAACAGAGAGAAAUGUGAAGGGAGGUGGAGUGUGAGCCGCAGCAACAGAGAGAAAUGUGAAGGGAGGUGGAGUGUGAGCCGCAGCAACAGAGAGAAAUGUGAAGGGAGGUGGAGUGUGAGCCGCAGCAACAGAGAGAAAUGUGAAGGGAGGUGGAGUGUGAGCCGCAGCAACAGAGAGAAAUGUGAAGGGAGGUGGAGUGUGAGCCGCAGCAACAGAGAGAAAUGUGAAGGGAGGUGGAGUGUGAGCCGCAGCAACAGAGAGAAAUGUGAAGGGAGGUGGAGUGUGAGCCGCAGCAACAGAGAAAU